ACACGUAGGGGGCGAGCGUUGUCCGGAAUUACUGGGCGUAAAGGGCGUGUAGGCGGCUGCUCAAGUCAGCUGUGAAAUUCCCGGGCUCAACCUGGGGCGGUCAGUUGAAACUGGGUAGCUUGAGUGCAGGAGAGGAGGGUGGAAUUCCCGGUGUAGCGGUGAAAUGCGUAGAUAUCGGGGGAACACCAGUGGCGAAGGCGACCUUCUGGCCUGUUACUGACGCUGAGGCGCGAAAGCUAGGGGAGCGAACAGGAUUAGAUACCCUGGUAGUCCUAGCCGUAAACGAUGGGUACUAGGUGUAGGUGGUUUUGAAGCCAUCUGUGCCGCAGUUAACACAUUAAGUACCCCGCCUGGGGAGUACGGCCGCAAGGCUGAA
rnacentral:rRNA from 1 species